UAGAAUAGGUGGCUUGGAACA
rnacentral:miRNA from 1 species